AUAGCGUAUAUUAAAGUUGUUGCAGUUAAAAAGCUCGUAGUUGAACUUCAGGCCUGGGCGGGCGGUCUGCCUCACGGUAUGUACUGUCUGCCUGGGUCUUACUUCUUGGUGAGCCGGCAUGCUCUUUACUGGGUGUGUCGGGGAACCAGGACUUUUACCUUGAGAAAAUUAGAGUGUUCAAAGCAGGCAUACGCCCGAAUACAUUAGCAUGGCAUAAUAAAAUAGGACGUGCGGUUCUAUUUUGUUGGUUUCUAGAGUCGCCGUAAUGAUUAAUAGGGAUAGUUGGGGGCAUUUGUAUUCCGUUGCUAGAGGUGAAAUUCUUGGAUUUACGGAAGACAAACUUCUG
rnacentral:rRNA from 1 species